GUUUGAGUAGUCUAGUAGUAUGAUGUCUGCUUUGGGAGCAGAUGGUCCAGGGUGCGAUUCCUUGCUCAGACC
rnacentral:tRNA from 1 species